AGUAGGCUUCGUAGGUGACUGCGGAAGGAUCAUUACCGAGUGCGGGCUGCCUCCGGGCGCCCAACCUCCCACCCGUGACUACCUAACACUGUUGCUUCGGCGGGGAGCCCUCUCGGGGGCGAGCCGCCGGGGACUACUGAACUUCAUGCCUGAGAGUGAUGCAGUCUGAGUCUGAAUAUAAAAUCAGUCAAAACUUUCAACAAUGGAUCUCUUGGUUCCGGCAUCGAUGAAGAACGCAGCGAACUGCGAUAAGUAAUGUGAAUUGCAGAAUUCAGUGAAUCAUCGAGUCUUUGAACGCACAUUGCGCCCCCUGGCAUUCCGGGGGGCAUGCCUGUCCGAGCGUCAUUGCUGCCCAUCAAGCCCGGCUUGUGUGUUGGGUCGUCGUCCCCCCCGGGGGACGGGCCCGAAAGGCAGCGGCGGCACCGUGUCCGGUCCUCGAGCGUAUGGGGCUUUGUCACCCGCUCGAUUAGGGCCGGCCGGGCGCCAGCCGACGUCUCCAACCAUUUUCUUCAGGUUGACCUCGGAUCAGGUAGGGAUACCCGCUGAACUUAAGCAUAUCAAUAAGGCCGGAGGAA
rnacentral:rRNA from 1 species